GAUAUACAUCAAUUUGAUUGCAGAAGGAAAAUCAUUCUGCUUCUCUCCAUUUCAAUUCUCUCCAAUUUCUCUCAAAUUUUAUAACACGUUAUCAGCACGAUUUUCUCUAAACAGAGCCUAAACGCUCUCCUUCUUUCUCUUUCUCAAAAAUGGCACCAGCAUCGGAUUCCUUCAACCAGACCUCCAACACAGUCUGUGUAAUGGAUGCAUCAGGCCACGUAGGCACCACCCUCACAGAGCGCCUGCUGCAGAGGGGUUACACAGUCCAUGCUGCCCUUCAGAGCCGUGAUGAAUCGCGGUUGGGACCCAUUUGACUACCAGAGCAUACUUGAUGCUCUCAAAGGCUGCUCUGGCUUGUUCUAUGCAUAAGAAACCUUCUUAUGCUUUUGAUGUUUCAGAGGUUUGAAGCACAGCCAGGCCUUGGUUUACCUCUUCAAUGGCGUUCACCAGGCUUACUUCGUCAAAAGCCAUUAAGCCCAGGACCCGCCGGCGGGAAGCUGGUCGAGCUCUUCGUCGGGGAGUCGAAGAAGGGCGAUAGGAAGAUGGAGGCCACGUCCUCGCCCAGAGCAUGUGAUCAGUGAAGGCUGGUCCAGCCCUCUCCGUGGGUUCAUGAGAGAUGCCUUAGCCAAGCACAAGCCAGACUGCUGCAGCCUUGGUCCAACAAAAGCGUUGGAGGAGAAAGAGCUCCUGGUAGUGUUUCAAAUACUGAGACAGUGUUCUCGAACUUGAUCCGAUGCAGAGGGGCACCACUUUGCUUGAUGGCACAAGCUGUCUUGUCUUCAAGCGGGCAUCGUGCCUUUAACAUGGAGAACAAGCAACAUGAGGCCAGAGUUGGUGGGCUUGCUUCAUCUGUAUGAAUGGAGCUCAACAUGCAGGGCUGCUCAAUCUCUUCCUCGGCUGUUUCCCAGCUGUCCAUGGUACCAGUCCUUGCAGAUUCUUUCAUGAAUCUCUUUCAAACAAGCAUGCUCUCACACGCUAAGUUCCAAAAUGUCCAUUCUUGCCGCAACUGGAUCACAACUUGGUUUGCUGAGCUAGAGGGAGAGAGCAUGUAGGCAACAUGGCUCGACUUUCGUGGCUGCUGCGAGUCUAACUUCCAAAAAGCAGCUCUUCUCAACCUCAGUUGACAGAGAAACGAGGCAUGGCUGGAACGUUUCGAAGAUGCUUGCUCUGUUGUACAACAGCAACGGUCACGUUAAUUGCUAUGGUGGAUUUUGAGUGCCCCUCCUCCAAACCCAACUACCAGGACUGGGAUUCUAAAGCUGAGAAGCUGUGUCUGUGGGGGAAAGGAAAACACCAGGCUGAUUGAUAGAUGUGGAUGGGUGGACCAACCAACUAAACAAGUGGCUUAGUAAGUGGAGCAGAAGACAAAAUUCCCCUAGUGCACAACAGACUGGCACGCAUGCAUUUAUCCAAAGAGCUAAGGGCCCAAGGUGGGGAAAGGUUUGUUUGCUUUGCUUGUCUCAUUAUUCCCACUAAUGAGCAUGAAUACAGUACGUAAUGGCUGAUACUUGAUUGCUUUGCUUCUCUUAUGGCAAAAUAUCUUGAUUGCUUGGAAAAAGGUUUGUUUGCUUUACUUGUCUCAUAUGUGGAAUAUUAUCUGGGGGACUAUUUGUCUAUUGGCUAUGAUCUUUCCACGAUCAACAUUUGGUAAAAGGGUGGCUCAAAAUGGUCAAAGAAGUGUAUGUGCAUGUAAGCUGACGAUUGGUUGGAAUGGUUUGUGCUUUGCUAAUGAUUAUCAUUUUCUGUAAAGAAAUUCUUAGCCAUUGAAAGACUCAUUUUGGUUAUGAUGAUGACCAAAUUUGAUGCAUGAUUAA